rnacentral:rRNA from 1 species
GUGCCAGCAGCCGCGGUAAUACGGGGGGGGCAAGCGUUGUUCGGAAUUACUGGGCGUAAAGGGUUCGUAGGUGGCCAACUAAGUCAGACGUGAAAUCCCUCAGCUUAACUGGGGAACUGCGUCUGAGACUGGAUGGCUUGAGUGCAGGAGAGGAACGCGGAAUUCCAGGUGUAGCGGUGAAAUGCGUAGAUAUCUGGAGGAACACCGGUGGCGAAGGCGGCGUUCUGGACUGCAACUGACACUGAGGAACGAAAGCCAGGGGAGCAAACGGGAUUAGAAACCCCCGUAGUCC